UCAAACUUGGUCAUUUAGAGGAAGUAAAAGUCGUAACAAGGUCUCCGUUGGUGAACCAGCGGAGGGAUCAUUAUCGAGUGUAAAAACUCACCAAACCCUGUGAACAUACCUUCUGUUGCUUCGGCGGGAUCGCCCCGGGCGCCCUCGUGUGCCCCGGAUCCAGGCGCCCGCCGGAGGACCUAAACUCUUGUCUUUAUGAGAUUUAUCUGAGUGGCUUUAUAGCAAAAUGAAUCAAAACUUUCAACAACGGAUCUCUUGGUUCUGGCAUCGAUGAAGAACGCAGC
rnacentral:misc_RNA from 1 species